rnacentral:rRNA from 1 species
ACGCUGGCGGCGUGCCUAAUACAUGCAAGUAGAACGCUGAAGGAGGAGCUUGCUUCUCUGGAUGAGUUGCGAACGGGUGAGUAACGCGUAGGUAACCUGCCUGGUAGCGGGGGAUAACUAUUGGAAACGAUAGCUAAUACCGCAUAACAGUAGAUGUUGCAUGACAUUUGCUUAAAAGGUGCAAUUGCAUCACUACCAGAUGGACCUGCGUUGUAUUAGCUAGUUGGUGGGGCAACGGCUCACCAAGGCGACGAUACAUAGCCGACCUGAGAGGGUGAUCGGCCACACUGGGACUGAGACACGGCCCAGACUCCUACGGGAGGCAGCAGUAGGGAAUCUUCGGCAAUGGACGGAAGUCUGACCGAGCAACGCCGCGUGAGUGAAGAAGGUUUUCGGAUCGUAAAGCUCUGUUGUAAGAGAAGAACGAGUGUGAGAGUGGAAAGUUCACACUGUGACGGUAUCUUACCAGAAAGGGACGGCUAACUACGUGCCAGCAGCCGCGGUAAUACGUAGGUCCCGAGCGUUGUCCGGAUUUAUUGGGCGUAAAGCGAGCGCAGGCGGUUAGAUAAGUCUGAAGUUAAAGGCUGUGGCUUAACCAUAGUACGCUUUGGAAACUGUUUAACUUGAGUGCAAGAGGGGAGAGUGGAAUUCCAUGUGUAGCGGUGAAAUGCGUAGAUAUAUGGAGGAACACCGGUGGCGAAAGCGGCUCUCUGGCUUGUAACUGACGCUGAGGCUCGAAAGCGU